rnacentral:rRNA from 1 species
UACAGAGGGUGCAAGCGUUGCUCGGAAUCAUUGGGCGUAAAGGGUAGGUAGGUGGUCUCAUUUGUCUGGGGUGAAAGCCCAGGGCUUAACCCUGGAAGUGCCCCGGAAACGGUGAGACUGGAGUCCGUGGAGAGGGUCGUGGAGUUCCCGGUGGUAGCGGAUGAAAUGCGUAGAGAUCGGGAGGAACACCAGAGGCGAAGCGGCGACCUGGACAGGUACUGACACUCGAACUACGAAAGCGUGGGGAGCAAACAGGG